rnacentral:rRNA from 1 species
GGGCAGCAUUUUAGUUUGCUUGCAAACUGAAGAUGGCGACCGGCGCACGGGUGAGUAACACGUAUCCAACCUGCCGAUAACUCCGGAAUAGCCUUUCGAAAGAAAGAUUAGUACCGGAUGGCAUACGAAUAUCGCAUGAUAUUUUUAUUAAAGAAUUUCGGUUAUCGAUGGGGAUGCGUUCCAUUAGUUUGUUGGCGGGGUAACGGCCCACCAAGACUACGAUGGAUAGGGGUUCUGAGAGGAAGGUCCCCCACAUUGGAACUGAGACACGGUCCAAACUCCUACGGGAGGCAGCAGUGAGGAAUAUUGGUCAAUGGGCGAGAGCCUGAACCAGCCAAGUAGCGUGAAGGAUGAAGGCUCUAUGGGUCGUAAACUUCUUUUAUAUGGGAAUAAAGUUUUCCACGUGUGGAAUUUUGUAUGUACCAUAUGAAUAAGGAUCGGCUAACUCCGUGCCAGCAGCCGCGGUAAUACGGAGGAUCCGAGCGUUAUCCGGAUUUAUUGGGUUUAAAGGGAGCGUAGGUGGAUUGUUAAGUCAGUUGUGAAAGUUUGCGGCUCAACCGUAAAAUUGCAGUUGAAACUGGCAGUCUUGAGUACAGUAGAGGUGGGCGGAAUUCGUGGUGUAGCGGUGAAAUGCUUAGAUAUCACGAAGAACUCCGAUUGC